rnacentral:lncRNA from 1 species
AUGGGGUUGUUAGGUAUAGUUUGUGCUGAGUUAAUGUUACUUUGGCAUAUCAUUAGACAUAGGGAAAGGGUGUUAUUUAAUAUAAUAUUUUUCACUACAAUAUCCAUUUUUUAUUAUUUUACUUUCAAUGGAUCAUCUGUUGAUCACGUUGGUCAUUUGGGAGGUUUACUUUCAGGCAUAGCUAUGGGAAUAUUAUACAAUAAAGAUAUGCAAAACAAACCUUCUUGGUAUGGCCAUAUGAAAAUUAUAUCUAUUGCAAUUUUGAUACUAUUGGCUACCGUCCCAACAAUUAUAUUAUUUGCUGUUAAACGUACCUGUUAAUAUAAUUUACUUCUUUAAAUUAUGUAUUCUGCUAACACUCGUGAUAUAUACAUAUAUAUUUAUGCGCGUUCAUCUAUAUUGUUUACUUUACUGUUCAAUAUAGAUCUUCGCAGUAUAUAUUUUCAUACUAUUGAUAAAAAUUUAGUUAAAUUACCUUAUAUAUACCAAUAUGAAUUGAAAGAAAAUUUAUAUAUACAUAAACACAUGUUUCUAUAAUUUGUUUGCAUUUGCAGUUUUUGCCCUUCAUUAUUAUUUUUUUUUAAUUUAUUAUAAUAGUAUUAAAAAGAAAAAAAAAAAAAAAAUUACUUUAAUUAUGAUAUACAAAAUUUUAUGUCAUCCCAUUUUUUACCUUUUUCAAUUUUUUUUUCCGCUUUUCUUCUUUUUUUUUUUGUCAUUUUUUUUUGUUAACUUUUAAAUGU